UAUGUUUAGGCAUAUUCAUUGGGAUAUCUUGCUUUACUAUUUACUUAUUUGCUUUUGUUUCCUUAGACUGAUUUUCAAAGCAAGAAUUACAGUGAAAGAACAUGGUGUAUAAAGUGACUAUUGAUGGCCACUGUCAAGUUUAUUUGCAAAUAAUUUCCUCCAAGCUAUGGUUUCCUUCUCCAUCCCAUAAUAUCGGUGUGUCCGUUCCAUCUCUCCUCUAAUUACUGGAACCACUUUCAUCUUCACUGACUUGAAGACAGCUAAUGACAGCCCGUUCUCUCAUGCCCUCCCAUUAUUUUUUCCAAAUGAGCUUCCUUCAGAAUCACUGGACUGAAUAAGAAGGCGGGUGGCAGUGAAAGAAAGAAAAACCCUACUCUUACCUUGCCUAGAAUGAAACCAUAGCUGUCCUUCCCUUAGGAGAAGAUUGAGGCCUUAAAGCAGGUUUUUUUUCUGUCCUAUCUUCUUCGGUUCCUACCAAAUGGAAGCAAUUCCAUCCCAGGGUUUUGUGCCUGCCACACUCUUCUGUUUCCAUCUUGUGGACUUGCAUUCUCAACUGACUCUCUCAGAAAAGGCGAGGGGGACAAACUAUCUGAAUUCUUCCAUGGUCAAGAAAGUAUCCUGUUCU